UUUAUUCUUGCCGUUUCUUUCCCCCUGGCAUUUUUUUUUUUUUUUUUUGUAUUUAAAGAUUUUAUUAAUCGAAUUAACAAUUUGGUGUCUUUGGAGAAAAAAAGAAAAUAUUUAGUUGCGUUUGCGGUUUUGAUUUAUUAGUAGCAUGACAGGAAGAGACGGGGUGGGGGAAGAAAUCGAACGACUGUAGCCUCAGCUUACAGUACGACGCGCCUGCUUCACCUCGGAGCCGCACGGCGCCGUCUGAUCCACUACCAACUGAGUCAACAAAUCCAAAUGAAAAUCAUUAAUGACUAAUGAGAUUUAUUUUACACAUUUCACUUUGUGCAGACAGCAAAUGCGUUCCUGUAUGAGGAUAAAACGAUUCAAAUCUCCUCUGCGUCGUGUCAGAAUGUUUAAAUAAAGACGUGCCCUCUUGAUGCUUUUUGAUACCGUUUACUAACGUAUCAAAAAGCAUCAAGCAGCGCAGAGACGAUGCAACACGGUCUGACUUCUGUCCUAGAAAACCCGUUCAACUUUCCGUCCUAAAAACGCUGCAUGUUGCAUUAUCUAUCCACUCGUAGAAAAAGUCUGGUGGGUAUUUUUGGCACGGUGUGUUGCAUCAGUCUGACUGCUGCAGCAACAAAGUGCAAAUAAGGUUGAAUUACAGUCCUGCUCACCAUUAUUGGCACCCAUGAAGUUUAAGUACAUAUAAUGGAAUAUUUACUGAAGGAAAUUCAUCAAGUGAAACAACAUUUUACUGCUGAUAGCUUGUGCUUGAUGCAAAACAGCAAAUGAUAAAAAAACAUUUAAAAAGAUAAACAUUAUGAGGAAAACAAAGAAAAAACAUCAUUUUUACCAUGCCAAUGGUAUUGGCACCCUUUGCUGCAAAUCAAUAUGAAAACCCAAUUUGGCUCACCUGUUGCAAAUCAUACAUAAAGAUCACUUGUGAUGGACUGCCGCCACACAUGUGACAUGAAUUAACCAAUGAAUAAUCAUGCUGGUGCUUUAAAAGCCACCUGUUAGUUCAUCUCCACAUGUGACAAUGGUAAAGACAAAGGAGCUGUCUGAGGACAUAAGAAAUGCUAUUAUUUUCAAGCACAAGUCCUCCAAAGGAUAUAAAGCCAUCUCCAAAGACCUUGGUGUCCCUGUUUCAACGGUGCGUAAUGUUAUUAAUAACAGGCAUAGAACGGUCAAGAACCUCCCUGGCCGUGGGGGGAAGAGAAAAAUUGAUGACAGAAGUCUUCGACGGUUGGUGCGAAUGGUGGAAAAAACACCACAUCUAACAUCUAAAGACCUAAAGACCAGCCUGGAGCAGUCUGGUGUGAUUGUUUCAACAAGUACCAUACGCCGCAUACUAAACAAAGUGGGGCUUUAUGGGUGGAGGCCAAGGACAUCACAAGCAUUAUGAAAUCAGAAGAUUAUCAAGCAAUUCUAGAGCGAAAUGUCUUGCCCAGUGUAAGGAAACUUGGUUUGCGGCGAAGAUCCUGGGUCCUCCAGCAAGACAACGACCCAAAGCACACCUCCAAAAGCACACAGGCAUUGUUGAAAGGGAAAAAAUGGACUGUUUUAAAAUGACCAGCAAUGAGUCUUGAUCUCAAUCCAAUUGAAAAUCUUUGGGUGGAGCUGAAAUCUGCCAUUGGAGGAAGGAACCCUGCAAAUGUACAAGAGCUUGAGCAUAUUGCAAAAGAAGUGUGGGAGAAAAUGCAAGAAGCUUUUAGAUGAAUAUAAGAAACGUUUGGAGGCCGUCAUUGCUGCCAAAGGCUGUGCAACCUAAUAUUAAAGAGAGAUGUCAAUAUUAGUGCACACGCUGGUUUUCUGUUUUGUCCUUUGGAAUUAAAAUAUUUAUGUUGAAAUGGUAAUUGUCUUUGUUAGAUUACUUUGGACCUCAAAUUGAAAGAUCCUGCUGAUAUAAGUUUUGAACAUUUCCAUUUAUUUCUGAAUAUAUUCACUCAGCUACGCAAAUCAUGAAGGGGUGCCAAUAAUGGUGGGCAGGACUGUAAGUGGAAAAAGCAACAGCCUGUUGCAUAACAGAGCUGCUUUGCUUUUUCCUCUACCGACAACCAGCUACUCUAGUUGCCUUUUUGCCAAAGUAAAAAGCUACUUAGAUUUUUUUUUAUUGUUCAUGCAACCUUUAAUUAGAACAUGUAUUUUAGAGGAAGUGUGUGUGUGUUAGUAGUUUAUUUCAAGCUGGGAAGUUCCUUUGUGACAGUGAAGACUAGAUGAACAAACUAAGUAAUUAACUUAAAACAAUAAGAAUUUUAAGAGGUUAACAAAUUGAAAAUAAUCUACAACUUGCUUCAAAUCACAGAUUAUAUUCACUUAAUGGGCAAAUGUGACGGUAAGCUAAGAGGAAGCCUAAACUAAAGCAACUAGGAGCAAGUAAGGAUGGAAAUCCCCUCAGUUUAAAAUCACACUAAUGUUGUUUUUACUGCUUCCUGCCAUCAGUGUGUGUGAUCAUGUCAUAAAUUUCUUUAAAAAAGUAAAAAAAA